UACGAAGGGGGCUAGCGUUGCUCGGAAUGACUGGGCGUAAAGGGCGCGUAGGCGGAUUGCUUUGUCAGACGUGAAAUUCCAGGGCUCAACCUUGGGGCUGCGUUUGAGACGGGUGAUCUUGAGUUCGGAAGAGGGUCGUGGAAUUCCCAGUGUAGAGGUGAAAUUCGUAGAUAUUGGGAAGAACACCGGUGGCGAAGGCGGCGACCUGGUCCGAGACUGACGCUGAGGUGCGAAAGCGUGGGGAGCAAACAGG
rnacentral:rRNA from 1 species